CACGUAGGGGGCAAGCGUUGUUCGGAAUUACUGGGCGUAAAGCGCGUGUAGGCGGUUGCCCAAGUCGGGUGUGAAAGCCUUGAGCUCAACUCAAGAAAUGCACUCGGUACUGGGUGACUAGAGGACCGGAGAGGAUAGUGGAAUUCCCAGUGUAGUGGUGAAAUACGUAGAGAUUGGGAAGAACACCAGUGGCGAAGGCGGCUAUCUGGACGGUUUCUGACGCUAAGACGCGAAAGCGUGGGGAGCAAACAGG
rnacentral:rRNA from 1 species